rnacentral:rRNA from 1 species
CUAAGGCCGAUGGCGACCGGCGCACGGGUGAGUAACACGUAUCCAACCUGCCGAUAACUCGGGGAUAGCCUUUCGAAAGAAAGAUUAAUACCCGAUGGCAUAAUAGAACCGCAUGGUUUGAUUAUUAAGGAAUUUCGGUUAUCGAUGGGGAUGCGUUCCAUUAGGCAGUUGGUGGGGUAACGGCCCACCAAACCUUCGAUGGAUAGGGGUUCUGAGAGGAAGGUCCCCCACAUUGGAACUGAGACACGGUCCAA